rnacentral:rRNA from 1 species
AUUAAUAGUUAAGUUCUUUAAACCCAAAGAAUUUGGCGGCAUUCCAUUCCGUUUAGAGGAACCUACCCCGUAAUUGAUAAUACACGAUUUGUUGUACUUAAUUUAUGUUUGUAUAUUUCCGUUAUUAGAAUAUCUUUUUAGGGUAAUAAAAUUUUCUUAAUUCUUAAUUUAGAAUUAUUUCAGGUCAAGAUGCAGCUUUAGUUAAGUGGAGGCGGGUUACAAUAAUUUUGUAUUUGGCGGUUUUAUUUAUGUAAAUUUUUAAUUAAGUUGGAUUUAAUAGUAAUUUAUUUAACUUUAUUUGUUUAAAAUUUGGUUUUGGAGUGUGC